CUCUUGACCAUCAGGACGUCAUUGGCGCGCGGGGUCCGCCCAGUCCCCUCCCACUACAUCGUAGUGGGCUGCGGUGCGCUCACAUCUGCCUGCCUUUGGUUUCUCUAGGAUCAGCAGGCCUAGAUCUCUGUAAAAUUCAAAAUAUAAUUUUAUGUAACAAAUAUUUUUUAAUAAUGACAUGGUUUCCAACAUAAAUUAUUUUACAAAAUUAAUUGAUUAGGCUGCUUUAUUUUUUUAAAUUGUUUUUUUUGGAAUAGCGGUAGCCUAAGCAAUAGGCCAAUAAUCUAUAGGACUUUUUAAAGAUUAAUAUUAUUUAUUUUUGCAUCACCAAUAUUUCUUCAGAAACCGACUUGAAUAAGCAUGCUUUAGUUAAUUGAACAUUAUAUACAGAACACGUUUUCCAAUUAGCUGAUAAGCAGACAGCAAAUUGCACUACAAUGAGUUAUUAAAAUGUGGAAUAUGUUUAAAAUUCUUAAAAUUUACGUAUUUGAAGCAAAAUUGCUCUUUAUUCAAAACCAAGCUGCUGAUUUCUUUAAAAAGAUAGACAGGAACAUGGGCAGGAUGUUUAUACAGCAAAACGUAAACAUUUUCCCUGGCCUUCUUUAAAUAAAAAAAAUCAAGCAAAAAGCCCCGCUAGAUCAGCUAAUACUCAAUCUGAUGCAUUAUGUCCGUUUUAGACAGCGCCUUGUGUGUGAAUAUGACUUUACAACAGAAAGCAAGUAAGCUUUUUCAAUUAUGUAUAGUGAUUAUAUUAUAUUCACACAGAAGAACUGGAGGAAGAGUGCCCUGUGCCUAUUCCAGAACUCCAAGCACUGAAAUUCAGAUGAGGACUUCAGAUCGUCUUCCACCAAACUAUUUCAGAAUGCUGCUCAAAUCAAGGCUGAAAUGUGCAAGCUUGAUGGUUUGACCACAGGAAGCUGUGAACUCCGCUGAGAAUUGAGGUUUCAGGGCCCUGAAGGCGACUAGGGGCAUCUACUGUACCUUGUUAAAUCCCAUAAUCCUGCUGGAUGACCCUUGACCCCGGCGUGUUUAUAUCAGGCCAUCGAUGUGAGAAAUCAUGAUGAGUCACUCUGGUGGUGUGUUUACGUUCUGGAGUCACGCAAGGAAGGAAAUAAGGCACGGUCUGCUAAAAGUGGCGAGGUGAGAGAGAAUAGCAGAAGUCCGGGAGCAGAGGCGUGAUUCAUCUCACCGUGACUGGCCUCUUAUACCGUUACAUACUGUUACACUUGGUUUAUUUAACCUGUUCACUUCUGUAGGUACACUCUAGCUACAUAUCAGCCACAACAAGGACCCAAUAGCCUACUUUGUUAAAAUAUCACAUGUAGAAAUUUAGAAGUGUAAUUCUGUAAAUUAGGUCUGAGUUGAGGAGUGAAAUGAUCCUUGUAAUAUAUAUGUCAUACGUGGAUUCGUCUUGUUUUGGAAUACACAUAAUAUGUUGGUAGAUUAUAGACACAGCAGCAUGUAUUAUUUUUAUGUAAAACAUUUACGAUUAGUGUGUUUAAAUCAUUCAGUUUUUUUUGUGCAAUGUCCAAUACAAUUAAAUCAGCAGAGAUAUUGAAAAGCAUGUCUUUGUAUUGUGCAAUCAUUUCAAAUGAUAUGUUCAUGCCGUUUUUCGGUUUAUGAAUGGGAAAUAAUUUCUCACCCUGUCAAACACAGAUUAAUACAUUCAUCUCCUUCAUCACCUUCCAGUGUGACAGUAGACAGCACUCCUUAAUAGAUAUUUUUUGGAGGGGUACUUACAUUGGGCUUAAGAAGAAUAUACUGUAUGUUGAAACUGUAAUGAGUAUGCAACCUAGCCAGCUCCUGUGAUUGAAAUACAAUGUCCUGGCCUGUCAUGAUGCUUUAGCCUUCCACACUGUGGGCUUGUGUGAUUGCACAAUUGUUGUUUUUGAGCCUGUGCCCACUAUACUUUUACUCUGUAAAUAAAUAUGGGCACUGAGUUGACAAUUC
ensembl:lncRNA